UACGUAGGGUCCAAGCGUUAUCCGGAAUCACUGGGCGUAAAGCGUGCGUAGGCGGGAGUUUAAGUGCAAUGCGAAAUCUUGUGGCUCAACCAUAUAGACUGUAUUGCAUACUGGACACCUAGAGGACGGCAGAGGCAAGUGGAAUUACUGGUGUAGCAGUGAAAUGCGUAGAUAUCAGUAGGAACACCAAUGGCGAAGGCAGCUUGCUGGGCCGACCCCGACGCUAAGGCACGAAAGCGUGGGGAGCGAACGGG
rnacentral:rRNA from 1 species